rnacentral:tRNA from 1 species
CAAGGAGUAGUUUAAAAUAGAAUAUCAACUUUGGGUGUUGAUGGUAGGAUUAUAAUCUUUUCCUUGA